AACGCACAUUGCGCCUCUCGGUAUUCCGGGAGGCACGCCUGUUCGAGCGCCAUUACACACCCCAAGCUGUGCUUGAUGUUGGACGCUGUCUGUGAAAGGACAGGUCUGGAACGCGUGGGCGCCGCCGCCGGACCACGAGCGUAGCAAGACGCAAGUCAUUCGCUGUGUGGAAUCUGGUGGGCGGUGGCCGUUGUGGCGGGUAAGACCGACAUGAAGAACUUAUAUACAAAGUUUGGCCUCGGAUCAGGCGGGGAUACCCGCUGAACUUAA
rnacentral:misc_RNA from 1 species